rnacentral:tRNA from 1 species
AGCCCCGUAGUCUAGCGGUCAAGGAUUUAUGCCUUUGGAGCAUAAGACCCCGGUUCGAAUCCGGGCGGGGCUA